CGCAAUGGGCGAAAGCCUGACGGAGCAACGCCGCGUGAGGGACGAAGGCCUCUGGGCUGUAAACCUCUUUUCUCAAGGAAGAAGAUAUGACGGUACUUGAGGAAUAAGCCACGGCUAAUUCCGUGCCAGCAGCCGCGGUAAUACGGGAGUGGCAAGCGUUAUCCGGAAUUAUUGGGCGUAAAGCGUCCGCAGGCGGCUUUUCAAGUCUGCUGUUAAAACGUGGAGCUUAUCUCCAUCAUGGCAGUGGAAACUGAAAGGCUUGAGUAUGGUAGGGGCAGAGGGAAUUCCCGGUGUAGCGGUGAAAUGCGUAGAUAUCGGGAAGAACACCAGUGGCGAAGGCGCUCUGCUGGGCCAUUACUGACGCUCAUGGACGAAAGCCAGGGGAGCGAAAGGGAUUAGAUACCCCUGUAGUCCUGGCCGU
rnacentral:rRNA from 1 species